CUUUGAAAACGAUGAACAAAUAGUUCAUCUGCAAUACAAUCAAAUGUCAGGGAACCCCGUGAGAAUCGGGGACGGUUACGCCACUGUAACGGGUUACAGACUCCCACAGCCACUGGUCAACAGCCGGGAAGGCGGGAGCGAGAUUCGAAACCCCAAGUCAGGAUAUCGGUUUGAUUGUGCUCGUCGUG
rnacentral:ncRNA from 2 species